CGAUGCCGUUGUGUUGACUACGAGAAACGUAACACAGGACCGUCACUCGUCGACAACUGUCACUUGCACCACAGCCAUUAAAUCGAAAUUUUUUUUAUUUACUUCACUUUCUCUGAUGCUUCAAUCAAAACUUUCUUCAGGUAUUUGUUCAUACGGCCCUGGAAUGAUGAGACUCGUGGACGGAGCUGCCAUCUACAACUAGCAAAUUUUAUGCUCAUCUGCUUGUGUAAUCAUUAUAGGAACUUUUCUAUCACCAAGUCCCUGUGGCGCAGAGGAUAGCGCGUUGGACUUCUAAUCCAAAGGUCGUGGGUUCGAUCCCCACCAGGGAUGACUCUAUCGAGUAGAGAUUAUACUCUGCUCUUUUUUGCAAUUUAUUUCAAGGGAUUUAGUAAUGGUUUGACAUUUAAAA